rnacentral:rRNA from 1 species
AUGGCGAUCCGCAUGACCGUCUCCUACUCCGGCUACGUGGCGCAGAGCCUGGCCUCCACCUUCGGCCUGCGCUGCACCACCGCCGCCGCCGCGGGCUCCGGGGCCGCGCCCGGCGCCGGCUGCCGCGUCCUCCAGGACGCGCUCUCCCGCCCCUUCUGCCUCUUCGCCUCCUCGCGCCGCGUCGAGCAGCACAAUGACGCCGAGGACCACAACCACCCCAAGCCCAAGCCCAGGCCCAAGCCUCUCCCGCCCGCCACCGCCGGUGCCGGCCGCUCCGCCAAGGCUCUCCCUGUCGCAGCCGCCGGAGGCAGGCAGCUGACCAAGCUCGUCCCCGCCGACGGGGGCAGCUACUCGCUGUUCGUCUCGCCGUCCGGCUCGACAAAGGCGGAUGACCCGCCGUCGCUGGCGGUGGGGUUGCUGUCGGUGCUCGCGUCCGGGGUCGGCUCGGGCCCUGGCAUAGCCGGCGUGUCCUCGCUGUCGGCGUCGCCGUCGAUAUCGUCCGGGCUGAACCCUGCCACGCUGCUCCCGUUCUUGCAGGCCACAAAGUGGCUCCCUUGUAGUGAUAUCAUCACCGGUGCAUCAUCCCGCAGGUCGGUACGCCCUGCGGAUGUGUCGACGGCGCCCACACAUGUGCCUUCCCGCCGCCCUUUGCCUUCGCCUGUGCCCUCCCCUGCGGUGGCUGCCCCUUCGAAGGCGGGCGUGAUGGCCUUGCUUGGUAGCAGCGGUGUGGUGGCUGCCCCCACCAAGAUGGGCGUCAAGGCAUUGUUUGGUAGCAGUGGUGCGGUGGCUGCCCCUUCCAAGGUGGGCAGCGUAGUAGCGCCGUUAGUUGGUAGUAGUGCAGUUGCUUCUGGUGCUGCUGGGGUGGUGAGACAGAGCAGUGCUGCUCUUGGUGGUGCUGCUGGGGUGGUCAGACAGAGCAGUGCCGCUCUUGGUGCUGCUGCAGGGGCGAGCAAGAGAACUAGCUGGCUGUCUAGGUGGGUGAACUCCUGCUCGGAUGAUGCAAAGACCGUUCUUGCUGCUGUGACUGUACCACUGCUCCAUAAAUCCUCCCUGGCGGAACCGAGGUCCAUCCCUUCGAAAUCAAUGUAUCCAACAUUUGAUGUUGGUGACCGGAUUCUCGCCGAGAGGGUUUCAUAUAUUUUCCGGGAGCCGCAAGUUUUGGACAUUGUGAUCUUCCGUGCACCCCUAGUCCUUCAGGCAUUGGGCUACAGCUCAAGUGAUGUGUUCAUCAAGAGGGUUGUGGCCAAGGGCGGGGACAUCGUUGAAGUGACUGAUGGUCAAUUAUUAGUUAAUGGAGUCGUCCAAGAUGAGGACUUUGUGCUCGAGCCACCCGAUUAUGAAAUGGACCCGGUGAGUGUGCCUGAAGGCUACGUGUUUGUGCUGGGGGACAACAGAAACAACAGCUUCGAUUCCCAUAACUGGGGACCGCUACCCGUGAAGAACAUUCUUGGGAGAUCUGUGCUUCGAUACUGGCCACCAUCGAAAAUAACAGACACAAUUUAUGAUCACAUUGACCAUGAUGUGGUUCAUGGCAUGGCAGGCAUCUCCUGA